UGCGUAGGCGGUGAUCCAAGUUUGGUGUGAAAUGUCCCGGCUCAACCGGGAGGGUGCGCCGAAAACUGGAUUGCUCCGAGUGUGGGAAAGGCAGGCGGAAUUCCUGGUGUAGCGGUGAAAUGCGUAGAUAUCAGGAGGAACACCGGCGGUGUAGACGGCUUGCUGGACCAUAACUGACGCUGAGGCACGAAAGCGUGGGUAGCAAACAGGGUUAGAUACCCUGGUAGUCCACGCCCUAAACGAUGCAUACUUGGUGUGGGCAGUUCAUUCUGUCCGUGCCGGAGCUAACGCGUUAAGUAUGCCGCCUGGGGAGUACGGUCGCAAGGCUGAA
rnacentral:rRNA from 1 species